GCAGAAGGCAAGUUAUUUUCAAUUUGGUGGAAGUGGCAACUACCGAAACAUGGAGAAGACCGUGCUUUACAAAUUUAUGUGUGACACUGAAGGAUGUGGGCCCCAGAUGUGAUCCUAGAGAAGCUGACCCCAAGGACUGCGGGGCUCUCUAUGGUUUAUGAGGCUGUUAACUCUUACUCUGUGUUCCCCAAAAUAGAGCUCUACGUGACCCCACAGUGUCUGACAGGGCUCUGAGUGACACGGACGACAGGGCUGGAAUGGGCUCCGAGGUCUGAUAGAGGUGCAAUUCCAUUUCGGUUUCCGCCAUUGUCCCUGCAGCAUUUCUUCCUCGCAGGUUAGCAGGCAGGUUUCAGGGAAUCUGAGGCUGGGAACAAGUGUAGGUGUCUCUCUGUGUACGUGAAAAGCCUUUAAUGCAAUUUUCUCUGCAUGCAAAUUGACAUAUCUUCGCAGUGAUGACUAUAUCCUGAAGUUAUGCUUGUUGUAAUCUUCAUAAGCGUGCUUUUGCUGGAGAGGUGAAUAAUAUCAGACUUCAAAGAAAUGUAGAUGACUAAGUGUGCUUCCAAAAUGAGUGACUUUUCCAGCUGCAAAAACCUGCCUCAGACCCACACUGAUU